rnacentral:rRNA from 1 species
GUAGUAACUUGUUCUCGCACCGGAAAGCUCAGAGCGGCCACGCCGUAAAACCCCAACUUUUUUCAGGUUGACCUCGAAUCAGGUAGGACUACCCGCUGAACUUAAGCAUAU